rfam:Paxillus involutus ATCC 200175 unplaced genomic scaffold PAXINscaffold_96, whole genome shotgun sequence.
AACUUUCAGCAACGGAUCUCUUGGCUCUCGCAUCGAUGAAGAACGCAGCGAAUUGCGAUAAGUAAUGUGAAUUGCAGAUUUUCAGUGAAUCAUCGAAUCUUUGAACGCACCUUGCGCUCCUUGGUAUUCCGAGGAGCAUGCCUGUUUGAGUGUCA